UAAGUGAAUGCUUUGCCACAGUCUUCGACCAUGUCAAAGGAAGCCUGGGCUCAGAUUCGCUUAGGC
ncrna:Caenorhabditis brenneri microRNA cbn-mir-86 precursor